GACGAACGCUGGCGGCGUGCUUAACACAUGCAAGUCGAACGGAAAGGCCCUGCUUUUGUGGGGUGCUCGAGUGGCGAACGGGUGAGUAACACGUGAGUAACCUGCCCUUGACUUUGGGAUAACUUCAGGAAACUGGGGCUAAUACCGGAUAGGAGCUCCUGCUGCAUGGUGGGGGUUGGAAAGUUUCGGCGGUUGGGGAUGGACUCGCGGCUUAUCAGCUUGUUGGUGGGGUAGUGGCUUACCAAGGCUUUGACGGGUAGCCGGCCUGAGAGGGUGACCGGCCAUAUUGGGACUGAGAUACGGCCCAGACUCCUACGGGAGGCAGCAGUGGGGAAUAUUGCACAAUGGGCGGAAGCCUGAUGCAGCAACGCCGCGUGCGGGAUGACGGCCUUCGGGUCGUAAACCGCUUUCGCCUGUGACGAAGCGUGAGUGACGGUAAUGGGUAAAGAAGCACCGGCUAACUACGUGCCAGCAGCCGCGGUGAUACGUAGGGUGCGAGCGUUGUCCGGAUUUAUUGGGCGUAAAGGGCUCGUAGGUGGUUGAUCGCGUCGGAAGUGUAAUCUUGGGGCUUAACCCUGAGCGUGCUUUCGAUACGGGUUGACUUGAGGAAGGUAGGGGAGAAUGGAAUUCCUGGUGGAGCGGUGGAAUGCGCAGAUAUCAGGAGGAACACCAGUGGCGAAGGCGGUUCUCUGGGCCUUUCCUGACGCUGAGGAUCGAAAGCGUGGGGAGCGAACAGGCUUAGAUACCCUGGUAGUCCACGCUGUAAACGGUGGGUACUAGGUGUGGGGUCCAUUCCACGGGUUCCGUUCCGUAGCUAACGCUUUAAGUACCCCGCCUGGGGAGUACGGCCGCAAGGCUAAAACUCAAAGGAAUUGACGGGGCCCCGCACAAGCGGCGGAGCAUGCGGAUUAAUUCGAUGCAACGCGUAGAACCUUACCUGGGUUUGACAUGGAUCGGGAGUGCUCAGAGAUGGGUGUGCCUCUUUUGGGGUCGGUUCACAGGUGGUGCAUGGCUGUCGUCAGCUCGUGUCGUGAGAUGUUGGGUUAAGUCCCGCAACGAGCGCAACCCUUGUUCACUGUUGCCAGCACGUUAUGGUGGGGACUCAGUGGAGACCGCCGGGGUCAACUCGGAGGAGGGUGGGGAUGACGUCAAGUCAUCAUGCCCCUUAUGUCCAGGGCUUCACGCAUGCUACAAUGGCUGGUACAGAGAGUGGCGAGCCUGUGAGGGUGAGCGAAUCUCGGAAAGCCGGUCUCAGUUCGGAUUGGGGUCUGCAACCCGACCUCAUGAAGUCGGAGUCGCUAGUAAUCGCAGAUCAGCAACGCUGCGGUGAAUACGUUCCCGGGGCU
rnacentral:rRNA from 1 species